rnacentral:lncRNA from 1 species
UGGAGAGCAGUGUAGGGGAAAGGGACCUGGGGGUCCUGGUGAACAGUGGGCUGACCAUGAGCCAGCACUGUGCCCUUGUGGCCAAGAAGGCUGCAACUGGAGUAUUGUGUCCAGUUCUGGGCCCCUCUGUUCACAAGAAGGACAGGGAACUGCUUGAGAGAGUCCAGUGCAGAACCACAAAGAUGAUGAAGGGACUGGAGCAUCUCCCUUAUGAGGAAAUGCUGAGGGAGCUGGGUCUCUUCAGCUUGGAUGAGACUGAGAGGUGACCUCAUUAACAUUUAUAAAUAUGUAAAGGAUAUGUGUCAGGAGGACGGAGCCAGGCUCUUCUCAGUGACAUGCAGUGAUAGGACAAAGAGCAAUGGAUGCAAGCUGGAACACAGGAGGUUCCAUAAAAAUAUGAGAAAAAAACUUUUUUAUGGUGGGGGCGACAGAACGCUGGAACAGGCUGCCCAGAGAGGCUGGGGGGACUCCUCCUCUGGAGACAUUCAAAACCUGUGUGGAUGCGAUCCUGUAUGACCUGAUCUAGGUGUUCCUGCUAAGGUAGGGGGAUUGGACUAGAUUAUCAUACAAGGUUCCUUCCAAUCCCCAACAUUCGGUGAUUCCAUGAUUCUGUAACUGGUGUGGAGAAGAGAUAGCAGCUAUUAAAAUGAAGACUUGGUAAAAGAAACUCUUUUCACAUCUUAGCCAGGAUUCUGGCAUUUAAUUUAUUUAAAUAAAUAAUACAUUUUUAAGCUCAUCUUUUCUCUUCUCUUCCUCUUCUCUCCUCUUCUCUCCUCUUCCUCUUCUCUCCUCUCCUCUUCCUCUCCUCUUCUCUCCUCUCCUCUUCCUCUCCUCUUCUCUCCUCUCCUCUUCUCUCCUCUCCUCUCUUUCCUCUCCUCUCCUCCCCUCCUUUCCCUUUUCCCUUUUCCCUUUUCCCUUUUCCCUUUUCCCUUUUCCCUUUUUUUCCCUUUUCCCUUUUUUUCCCUUUUCCCUUCCUUUUCCUCUUCCCGUCUUUUCUUUCCUUUUCUUUUUUUUUUCCUUUUUUUUCUUUGAUCUACUGGCUCCACCAUCGAAGACAAAACUCUCUUAUUCUUCUCCACGUCUCACUAGAAAAAGGAGAGUCUCAAGUUGUGAGUGAGUUCUUUUCACCUCAAACAGACUUUGACAGGGAAAAAGAAAAGCUGCUUUGUCCUGGGAUCUCCAGCUACAACUCUGACCACAGCAACAGCAAAGGCAAGAGAGCAGAUACCUGUCUGUGGGCCCAAGCAGCCGACGGAAGUUGUC